rnacentral:rRNA from 1 species
AACGAACGCUGGCGGCAGGCCUAACACAUGCAAGUCGAGCGCUGUAGCAAUACAGAGCGGCGCACGGGUGAGUAACACGUGGGAACGUGCCCUUUGGUUCGGAAUAACUCAGGGAAACUUGAGCUAAUACCGGAUGAGCCCUAACGGGGAAAGAUUUAUUGCCGAAGGAGCGGCCCGCGUCGGAUUAGCUAGGUGGUGGGGUAAUAGCCUACCAAGGCAACGAUCCGUAGCUGGUUUGAGAGAACGACCAGCCACACUGGGACUGAGACACGGCCCAGACUCCUACGGGAGGCAGCAGUGGGGAAUCUUGGACAAUGGGGGAAACCCUGAUCCAGCCAUGCCGCGUGAGUGAUGAAGGCCCUAGGGUUGUAAAACUCUUUCGGCGGGGGCGAUAAUGACGGUACCCGCAGAAGAAGCUCCGGCUAACUUCGUGCCAGCCGCCGCCGUAAGAC